GCCUCGCCCUCCUUUUUUCUUGAACUGUGAACAUUUAGUGCUAUGCCUAGUUGAUGUUAACCCUUACCCUUUGAUGUCAGCUGUAUUGUAUAUCAUUGUAUAAUCCUUUUUUGAAGAACUUUUUGUCAGAAUUGUGUGUCAUUUGGAUGUCAUCUUUUCCUUCCUUUCUCAUUCUUUUGUAGGGCUUAUGUAGCAAUUCCAUAUAUGUAAAUGAUGGAACUAUUAUUGAUGAGCAGUCAAUGACAGUUAUCUAUAUUGUUGAUCAAUAGAAUGUGGAAAGGGAUUUAUAGGAGUGUUGGACCCCCCACCCCCCACCCCCACCCCACCCCACACAACUACAACUGGAAUGUUUAGCGGAGACAAAACAAAAUGUUAUCUCCAUUUACUUGUUAUUUUUGUUCUCAAUGAUAUACUUUAUAUUUAUGAUAGUACAUGUUUUAUAUACUGUUAAAUGUACUAUAUAAUUACAUGAACAUACAAAUAACGUGUGUUUGAAUAUUCAGAAUGUGUAUUUAUUUUAGAUGUGUUGCGGCUUAUUUAUGUCAACAUUGUAUAGAGUGAGACAUAUAUUUUUAUACGCUAUUGUGAUACCUCUAACUAUUUUUUCAUCAAACUUAUUUUCAGCUUCUCAUUGUAGUGAACAAAUUGAAUAAAAUCUGAACCAA
rnacentral:sRNA from 1 species